GCCUACGGGGCGCAGCAGUGGGGGAUAUUGCGCAAUGGGGGGAACCCUGAUGCAGCGACGCCGCGUGGGUGAAGAAGCGCCUCGGCGCGUAAAGCCCUGUCAGCAGGGAAGAAAAUGACGGUACCUGAAGAAGAAGCCCCGGCUAACUACGUGCCAGCAGCCGCGGUAAUACGUAGGGGGCAAGCGUUAUCCGGAUUUACUGGGUGUAAAGGGGGCGCAGACGGCGAUGCAAGCCAGGAGUGAAAGCCCGGGGCGCAACCCCGGGACUGCUGUUGGAACUGCGUGGCUGGAGUGUAGGAGGGGGG
rnacentral:rRNA from 1 species